rnacentral:lncRNA from 1 species
GUCUCAGCUGCACAACGGGAUGUCAGUGCUGUUUGGACUUAGCCAUCCUGACUCCAUGUUUUCUUGUGGGGGGUCCCUGACCCUGACUACCUAGCUGUCCAACUAACUCCUAACAAAGCAAGAGGGAAAGCCUACAGAGAAAUUCCAGGAAGAAUGUUUGCUUCCCCGGGAAAAAGGCUGGCUUCCCUCCAUCAAAUCUCAGCUUCAUGUCCUUCAAGGAAAGAGAGGCCUGUCUUGACCAGAUCUACCAUCACUCUGUCACAGCAUCUUCAGUCUUUUUCUUCAUUACACAUCAUCACAAUUGGUCCAUCCUCUGUGGGAAAGAAACUACAACUACUGACACUCGCCUUGUCAGAGUGGAGUCUGAGUCUGCAGGAACUCCUGCCCCUUUCUGGUAGGUGGAGGGGGAAGAGGAAGCUUAAACUUUCUUGCAUGCCACG